rnacentral:lncRNA from 1 species
CGCCAAUCAGAUUCAAGCCACACCCACCAGCUUUGCUACUUAGCAUGAACACAAAGUCACUACCCUAAAGCAAGAAAUGACGAGGUAGAUGGACCUAUAAUCAGACGAGCUUACAUACAUAAGUGGCAGGGCUUAUGAGCAACUGUUUGUCUAAUGUCAUGGUCUAUCUGAACCAGGACUGAGGUUACCAGCCCCUGGUCAGAUUAUGUAUCCCCAAGCUCCUCCUCAAACAGAGGAUCAAAGACCAGAAGUGAGAAAACAGGGGAAAGCAAUCCAACAGAGAGGAUAGAGGUAGAGGUAACCAAACCACAGUUAUCAGCUGAAUGGGGGCGCAGUAGCCUCAUGGUUAGUGCACUCAACUAUGGAUUGAAUGGUCUGGGUUCAAGCACUGGCUGGGGACACUGUGUUGUAU